rnacentral:rRNA from 1 species
AUUGAACGCUGGCGGUAUGCUUAACACAUGCAAGUCGAACGGUAACAGGCCUAGCUUGCUAGGUGCUGACGAGUGGCGGACGGGUGAGUAACGCGUGGAAUCUGCCUUAUUGUGGGGGAUAACCUGGGGAAACUCAGGCUAAUACCGCAUGAGCCCUAAGGGGGAAGGAUGGGACCGAAAGGCCAUUCGCGAUAAGAUGAGCCUGCGUUGGAUUAGCUAGUUGGUGGGGUAAAGGCCUACCAAGGCGAGGAUCCAUAGCUGGUCUGAGAGGACGAUCAGCCACACUGGGACUGAGACACGGCCCAGACUCCUACGGGAGGCAGCAGUGGGGAAUAUUGGACAAUGGGGGCAACCCUGAUCCAGCAAUACCGCGUGUGUGAAGAAGGCCUGCGGGUUGUAAAGCACUUUCAGUGGGGAGGAAGAGCUCGGUGCUAAUAGUAUCGAGUUGAGACGUUACCCACAGAAGAAGCACCGGCUAACUCUGUGCCAG